UACAGGUAACCGUAGGGCGGAUCCCGUACCCGGAGGGUUGGAGCUUGGUCCUUGUACGUUGGGGGGGGACGGGUGAGUAUGCUUGGGCACCCUACCCUAUGGUUUGGGAUAACUCCGGGAAACCGGGGCUAAUACCGAAUAAUCUCUUUUACUUCAUGGUGAAAAACUGAAAGACGGUUUCGGCUGUCGCUAUAGGAUGGGCCCGCGGCGCAUUAGCUAGUUGGUGAGGUAACGGCUCACCAAGGCGACGAUGCGUAGCCGACCUGAGAGGGUGAUCGGCCACACUGGGACUGAGACACGGCCCAGACUCCUACGGGAGGCAGCAGUAGGGAAUCUUCCACAAUGGGCGAAAGCCUGAUGGAGCAACGCCGCGUGAGUGAAGAAGGUUUUCGGAUCGUAAAACUCUGUUGUAAGGGAAGAACAAGUACAGUAGUAACUGGCUGUACCUUGACGGUACCUUAUUAGAAAGCCACGGCUAACUACGUGCCAGCAGCCGCGGUAAUACGUAGGUGGCAAGCGUUGUCCGGAAUUAUUGGGCGUAAAGCGCGCGCAGGCGGUCCUUUAAGUCUGAUGUGAAAGCCCACGGCUCAACCGUGGAGGGUCAUUGGAAACUGGGGGACUUGAGUGCAGAAGAGGAAAGUGGAAUUCCAAGUG
rnacentral:rRNA from 1 species